UUGGGAUAAGAAUCUUGAUACCAUUUUUUACUAAGAUGUAAAAUGUCAGAUUUUCCAUUGUGAUAUUCAGUGCAAUUUUACCUUUGAAUCUUCUAAAGAUAAGGGGUAUGUUGUUUCAUUCAGUUUUAUAGUCUCUCAAAUUCUUUGUAAUUGUUACUUUUGAACAUGAAUAAAAUAAUAGUAUUUAUAAUAGUAUUUAUAUUUUAAGGCAACUAUUCUUCAUGUAUAUGUAGAAUUCAGGUAUUUGUCAUAUUUUGGUUCUGGGACCGUAUUAAAUGGCAGUCACAUAACUUCCACUUGUGUCUCCUCAUUUUUACUAUCAUCAUUAUCAUGGAAAGGUCAAACAAAAAGUGUUAUUAAAUUCUUGUAAGAUUUAAAGCCAGAAUUAAAAUUAAGAAAAAGAAUUUCUAGAAUUUAGUCUUCAACCUUACAACUUUCAGAAUGUAGUUGUCACCACUUCUUUCUCUGGAAACCAUUUUUAGCAUAAGGAGAUGUACCAAAACAUUUCCUUGACAAAUAAGUUUCCCCAAAUCACAAUUAUCCUAAGAAAGAACAAAUUAAGUAAUACAUUUACACAAUCAGUUUUGAACGUCUUUGCAGAGAAAUAUUCAAACUGGUAAAAUGGGUUGAAUUUCCAAUUAAGAUGGAACAUUUUUAUUCCAGUCUUUGCAGCUAAGUGAAGGGGGUCAUUUUCUCUUGAAUGAUGUGAAGAAAUAAAUUUCUUUAAAAAUUUCCAAACCUUUGUGGGUGCAAUGUUACCCAAAACCCCGUAAUAUAGCAGACUCCCAUGUGGCACAUCCAAUUUAUUAAGCAAUACACUAACCUGUCUGUACCACAAACCAUGGAACAUAUCCUGUUUGUGAUAUAAACAACUGUGUCCAGAAUGCAUCCUAAAAUUUUAGCAUAAAGUCAUUUCCAGGGAAUGAAAGCUUAAGUUCUAGGUCCUUUUGAAACUAAUUUGUUUCACUUUUGUAAGUCCAUAGAUCAUCACAACAGCACUUUAUUAACAUGCUUAUUAAUUAUAACUUUAUUAAUUUUAAUACUAGCCUAUAUCAAACUUUAAGAUUUUUUUCGAGCCAAUUGAUCAAUAAUUAACCUAAAUAUGUUUCUGAGUUAUUUGGUAACCUUAGAAUUUUAUCUGAAAAAACACAUAAAUAUAUUUAAGUGGGUGGCAUUGUUGAUACCUGGGCUCUCAGAUGCAUUAGAAAAUGUCACAAAUGAAAUUUUCAUAAAUUUUUCUGUAAGUUCUCAGCUAUAUCUUGAUUCACUGAGGAAAAUAAGAGUUUUCCCAGUUAGCCGCCUAUUUUCAAAAGCCUAUUUCUUUUUGGCAUAUAAUUUCUGCUUAUUUCUUUUGGCAUGUAAUUUCUGCUACAUUCAGUGGAUAUGCUUUUAAAAGUUACCAUCUGUUAAAUGUUUUGAUGCAAUUUUUUUCACUUAAUAUAUAUAUGAAUUUCACAGCAUUAUUAUUUUUAAAUUUUUCAUUUAAAAUCAAGUCCUAUGGAAAUGCCAGGCUCAUUUAAUUCAUUAAUCUUAUUUUAUUUAUACUGGCACUCACAUAUACAUUUCUAAGUACUGGCAAUGGUUUUUAGUUUAGUUUAUUUCAUAAUGGUUUUUAAAUUGUAUUCUUUGACACAGUUACAUUUUGCCUAUUAAACACAGAGGAAUAUUUUUGACUUCCACAAAAAGCACAAUCUCUCUCUUUUUAAAAUACAUGGCUUUCUUAGUUUAUCUUUUCAUUUUCCUGCUUCCAAUAGAGAUAUGAGUCCAAAGAAAUAAUUCUCUACUACAAGAAAAAUAAUAGUAUAAGAGUAAUGGUAAAUAGCCAUUGACAUCCCAGCAUAAAGCAAGAAAAUGAGGCAUGAUAGGCUGGAUCCACAGUGAGUAGAAGACUUAUGGUCUGUAUGGUAUGUCUGGGGCUCAGCUCUGUAGGUAGUUGCACUGGAGAUCAGAAAGGCCUUUAUCCUGCUGCAGUCACUAUUUAUCUGGCUGCAUGAGUACAUUACAUUUUUUUUUUUAACUUUAGGCAAAUUAACAUUCUAAUAGCCAAAUAGAGUAUAUCUUUAGGCUCCUAUCUAAAUUUCUAAGGAAAAGGUUUUCUCCCAGCUGCCUUACCUUUGCAUGACUGCCCACCUGCCUUGAAUGGGGUUAGUAUUUAACACCAUUUUUUUGCAGCAUUCAUGAAUUCAACCAGCAAAUACCUGAGAGAUGGGCAUUGUUCUGAGAGUUGGGGAUACUGUGGUGAAUAAAGCAGAAAAAUCUCUGUCCUCAGAAAAAUCAUGUCCUAAUGGGGAGGGAUGGAAAAUUAAAAAAAAAAAAAAAAAAAAAAAAAA
rnacentral:lncRNA from 1 species